CGGACGGGUGAGUAACGCGUGAGAAUUUGCCUUUAGGAGGGGGACAACAACUGGAAACGGUUGCUAAUACCCCAUAUGCUUUCGAGUGAAAUGGAUUUUUCCGCCUAAAGAGAAGCUUGCGGCUGAUUAGCUUGUUGGUGAGGUAAUGGCUCACCAAGGCGACGAUCAGUAUCUGGUUUGAGAGGACGAUCAGACACACUGGAACUGAGACACGGUCCAGACUCCUACGGGAGGCAGCAGUGGGGAAUUUUCCGCAAUGGGCGAAAGCCUGACGGAGCAAUACCGCGUGAGGGAUGACGGCCUAUGGGUUGUAAACCUCUUUUUUCAGGGAGGAAUCAAAUGACGUGUACCUGAAGAAUAAGCAUCGGCUAACUCCGUGCCAGCAGCCGCGGUAAGACGGAGGAUGCAAGUGUUAUCCGGAAUCACUGGGCGUAAAGCGUCUGUAGGUGGUCCAAUAAGUCAACUGUUAAAUCUUGAGGCUCAACCUCAAAAUCGCAGUCGAAACUAUUAGACUAGAGUAUAGUAGGGGUAAAGGGAAUUUCCAGUGGAGCGGUGAAAUGCGUAGAGAUUGGAAAGAACACCGAUGGCGAAGGCACUUUACUGGGCUAUUACUAACACUCAGAGACGAAAGCUAGGGUAGCAAAUGGGAUUAGAUACCCCAGUAGUC
rnacentral:rRNA from 1 species